rnacentral:tRNA from 2 species
UCUGAUAUAGCUCAGUGGUAGAGCGUCCGGCUCUGGACCGGAUGGACACAGGUUCGAGCCCUGUUAUCAGAA